GAAUUACAAACUUUAGAAAAAGAGUGUGGUUUUAUCCCUGAGUUUGAGGGAGUUGAAGCAACUGUUGGGCCAUAUGUACGAAAAGAUGGUGAUGGAAUUUGGAUAGAUCAUGGACCCAUUUGAUGAGCACCUUGAGGAGUACCUAGAGGGUGAUGAUGAGCAAGCUGAUGUUGAUUCCAUCGAUGAGCAGACUGAUGGUGGUUCCAUGGAUGUUAACCACGAGGAGGAGGAUAAUAAUAAAGAGAACACGGAAGAUAAAAAGAAAACACAUAAGCGGACAUGAGGCAUAGUGCGACUGACGAAGAUCAUAGUAGAUAAAAUUAAAGGAAUCAAUCGCCAUUUGAGGUUCAAUAGCAGGGGGCAAUCGAUUGGGACCCCAAACAGAGAGCUUCAAUGUUAUUUAGGAAUGCAAGCCAAAAGUAUGGUGCCAAUUAACAUUGACAAUUGGCGCGAAGUUCCUAAAUCUAUAUUGGACAACUUAUGGAAGGAUGUCAAUCUAGCUUUCCACCUAGAUGAGAAUAUGCAAAAAAAUAUUAUUGGCUCAGUGGGUAAUAAGUGGAGACAAUUCAAAUGUAAUUUGAACAAGAAGCUUAUAGUCCCUUACCUUAAUGACCCAUCUCUUUUGGAAGCAAACCCUCGUGGUCUCGAUAAACCUCCACCAAGCUAUCAUAUAGAAGAAACACAUUGGAAAUAAUUUUUCAAGAGAAG